rnacentral:lncRNA from 1 species
UAUAAGCUCUCUCGAGGCUUUGUGAAAAAGUCAAGGCUGUCCCCGAAAAAGAACAUGCCAUCUCUCAAACUCCUUCGAUCAUGUGCUCUUGCGUGUCUUAAAGUUCUAUAUAAGGUCUGUUUUGGCUUUUGCCGAAAUACACAUGCUUCUUUUGAAAUCAUUAUCUGUGCUUUAGUAUCUAUCUACACAUCUUCAUAUUCUCA